ACAACUCUUUCUCUCCUUUCCACUAAAGAACCUCUCUCUCCUUUCUAAAGCAUUUCAGGAACUACCUGGACCUUAUAUAUUUAUGAGGUAAAUUCUAAUGCUCCCUGCGUCCUAUUAAGGGUAGUGAAGUCAAACCACCUAGGAGGCUUAACACCUGCUUGCUUUUUCCUGCAGCUUAAUCAUCCUAAAGGGAAAUUUCAAGGAAGCUUCUUAUAGGUAAAGCUGAUCUGAGUAUUUGCCUUUCAUAAUGAAUUUAUUCAUAUUAUUAUUAAUGAGGAGAAAAUCGCACACAGUAACAGCAAUAAAGUACAAUGUUCAACUGUGAAUGAAUUAACCAUUAUCAGCAAUGCAAGGAUCCAGGACACCACCAAGGAAUUCAGGAUUAAAAAAGAGUUCAUCUGCUACUAUAGGAGAAGCAGAUUGAGGAAAGGUGAAGGUAUGGAGGAAGGAAGAGAACAUGGAUUGCAAAAUUUCAGAAAACAAUUAUUGAACAGAAAAGAUGCUUGGACAAGUUCCAGGGCCAGGAGGAGCAGUUUUGCUCAAGAAGGAGAGGAAGUCCCGACAAGCAAUUUUUGGCAACUCCGUUGAUUAUAUCAACUUUUGGCUCAUAAUUCAGUGUUUUGGAAAAUGUACCUAUAUUUGUAUAUGUAUAUACAUAUAUAUUUCCAAUUACACAUAAUA
rnacentral:lncRNA from 1 species